rnacentral:rRNA from 1 species
CAGCCCCUCGAGUGGUGGGGAUGAUUAUUUGGCCUAAAGCGUCCGUAGCCGGCCGAGCAAGUCUCCCGUUAAAUCCAGCGUCUCAAGCGUUGGACUGCGGGAGAUACUACUCGGCUAGAGAGUGGGAGAGGUCAGCGGUAUUCUGGGGGUAGGGGCGAAAUCCUUUGAUCCCCGGAGGACCACCAGUGGCGAAGGCUGCUGACUAGAACACGUCUGACGGUCAGGGACGAAAGCUGGGGUAGCGAACCGGAUUAGAUACCCGAGUAGUCC